rnacentral:rRNA from 1 species
AGGCAGCAGUGGGGAAUAUUGCACAAUGGGGGAAACCCUGAUGCAGCGACGCCAAAAAAGCGAGGAAGUACCUCCCCCCCCCAAAGCUCUGUCAGCAGGGAAGAAAAUGACAGUACCUGACCAAGAAGCCCCGGCUAACUACGUGCCAGCAGCCGCGGUAAUACGUAGGGGGCAAGCGUUAUCCGGAUUCACUGGGCGUAAAGGGAGCGCAGGCGGCACGGCAAGUCUGAUGUGAAAACCCGGGGCUCAACCCCGGGACUGCAUUCGAAACUGCCGGGCUGGAGUGUCGGAGGGGUAAGCGGAAUUCCUGGUGUAGCGGUGAAAUGCGU